CUUAGGAAAGGAGAGGAGCUGCAGGGAAUACACAGACUCACAUCCAGGCCUCUGCUGUGAAUCUCUUGCUUCAGUGGUUAUGCAGGUGUGUCUGGCUCCGGUACGUUCUAGAAGUGCAACACCCCCGUGAAGGUAAUCUCGAGAAGAGAUGGAGCUGCAGAGGAGGAGAUGAACAUAUUCUGCAGGGAUCAUUGUUGCUGAAGGAUUACGAGGGAUACUGGCUGUUUUCAUCCUCUGUUCCUCUGCAUGGACAUCUCGGAGUAGAGCACCUGACUGCUUAAGGACACUUAGCGUUUACCUGCAUGGAUCUGCUGGAUUAUUACCUGAGUGACACCUGGGCAGACUGCUGCCCUGGAUUUUUACAGAUCAUGUCCUGGUUUAGAGUGAAUGGGACUGUUACCUGAUAUCUCUUCCUGCGACUGG